rnacentral:tRNA from 1 species
GAUUUGGUGGAGCAACGGUAGCGCGUCUGACUCCAGAUCAGAAGGUUGCGUGUUUAAAUCAUGUCUGGGUCA